rnacentral:rRNA from 1 species
UACGAAGGGUGCAAGCGUUACUCGGAAUUACUGGGCGUAAAGCGUGCGUAGGUGGUUUGUUAAGUCUGUUGUGAAAGCCCUGGGCUCAACCUGGGAACUGCAGUGGAUACUGAGAAGCUAGAGUGUGUCAGAGGAUGGUGGAAUUCCCGGUGUAGCGGUGAAAUGCGUAGAGAUCGGGAGGAACAUCAGUGGCGAAGGCGGCCAUCUGGGACAACACUGACGCUGAGGCACGAAAGCGUGGGGAGCAAACAGG